UAUUUAUUUUGAUUCUUGACUCCCUAGGGAAAGAGAAGCAACAGAACAGUGUUCUUUUAGGUACAUUCAAAUAUGUGCUUGUAAAUUUCUGAGGCUUCUCUUUUCAAACUACCACAGCCUGGAAGUGCCCGGUCUAGCUCCUGGAGGUUGCAGGUCUCCUGCUACUGCCUCCCAUGAAGUGAACCCAACUGGAAAUCAGGCAGCAAGUGAGUCCAACUGAUGCAGCCUGAAAGGAUCAAGGAAGCAUGACAGAGAAUGAUCUCAGGUUUCUCUCCUCAGAGUGAAAAACAUACCAACAGCACUUACCACUUGCAGCAGGGCAAGAAAAGAAGUUUACUCCCAGGAUACAAAAUAUCAGCCAGAAAAUGAGGCAGACAAGCAAAACAUUCAGAAUGGCAGAUUCUAAGCAGUGGACUAGAUGAGAAGGAGCCCAGGAAGAGACUGGCAAUUUAAAGGAAGCCCAGCCAAAGAAGAGCAAUUGGCUUUUCCACCUCUCCCUGACAGCUGACCUUCCUCCCAUCUGCCUGAAGAAUGUACCUUCAUUCCUUGGAACUGGGACAAUGCUCGCAAGGGCCUCAGUGCUCGUAGGGUCCGAAAGGACUUCAAGCUCUUUAAGUCAAUGAGACUGGUCACAGAGACCUGGUGGGAAGAGAAGCCACAGAUAGUGUACCUGACUUGAUUUCCAGAGAAGCCAGUCGGGGGCUGGUAGCCCUCAUUCUGAGAGGCAGACACAGGGUGACUUCAGUGGAUUAUUCAGAAACAGAAAGAAACCAGCCCCUGCUGGAAGUGGGAGGGCCAAUGAAGAAGCUAUUUUUCUCCGAGAUUGCCAAAGCUACAGCCCAUAAAGGUGAGGACAAUGCAUUUACAUUAUCUGUUUAAUGAAAGACAAAGAAAAGCUGAGAAAUUGUUGUAAGUUAAAGGAAACCAAAGGGUAUGACAAUGAUAUGUCACUUGGGGUUCUGAACUGAAUCCUGGAUUAAGGGGGGGUGAGGGAAGACCAGGGUGGAUGGAUAGAAAGAAUUAAUCAUAAAGGACCUUGUUGAAACAAUUGACAAAAUCUGAAAAUGGAUAUUUUUACUAUUCAGCCAUGUUAAAUUUCCUAACUUUGACCAUUGUGCUGUGACUGUGUGAGACAAUAUCUUUUUUCUUAGAAAAUACACACUAGAAUGUUUAGGGAUAAAGGGAUGUAGUGCCUGCAACCUAAGCAGUUUUCUCCAAUGAAAAACGGAGAGAAAAUGACAAAGCAGAUGGGGUGAAAUGUUAUUAAUUGGUGAAUCUGUGGAAAGAGUAUAGGGGGUUCUUUACACUAUUUCUUGCAACUUUUCUGUGAGUUUUUAAUGAUAUAAUAAGUUACAACGAAAUAAUAAAUUGUUUGCUAAUAUUUCCCUUCCCUCAUAUGACUCCUUUUUGGGGGAAUACUCUGAAUUGAAACUCAACAAAUACAGUGAGUUUGAGUUGAAGACCACUAUUUGCAGAUUCCACUCAUUCGUACUGAUCAUGCAGAGCCUUCAGAGAUUCAACUUGGAAGAGGGGCAGCUCAGCAGGAUAGGAAGUGAAUUAUAUGACUGACUAUGCUGGUAUCAGAGUCCACUAUUGUCUAGCAUCAUUCCCCUACCAAUUCAUUGUAGUAGUAAAAUACUACCAAAUUGAGAGAGAUUAAGUGAGUCAAUAUGGCAGGAUAACAAAAUUUUAAAAUAAAAAAAAAUCACCAUCAAUUCAAAAUGCUUUUAAUUAUAAAGGUCUCCUAAAAUAGGCUUUCUGUUUGUUCUCUUGUUUGUAAUCACAUUGUCUGUUGGGAGAGUUAGAUCUGCAGCUUUUCCACAAAUACUCCCACCUUGUUCCUAGCCAGAGGGAAAAGGAUGGAGCAAUUUAGCAGUUCCUCUGGCUUUACCAAAUAACUGUUAUCCUGGGUGGGGAAGAAGCAUCCCUAGAAGGACACUAUACACCUUUUCACCUGCAACCUUAUCCCCAAUCUGUGUUCCACCAAACUGGGAAGCAUUGAUGAGGCUUGCAGACAUAAAAAUAGCCACAUUCUUACCCACGCUACAUACAGUAUUCUAAAGGUGGGAAGUUUUCUGCUGGUUUUAUUUUUUUUUUUCUAACUUGCAUUUAUUACUCUCUACUCUUUUGACAUUCACCAUUCUGAUAUACACAUUCUUGUGGCUAGUUCCUUUUAACUGUUAUAAAAUAUUACAGCAUAGAAAUAUUCAUAUUUUAUGGAUCCAUUCCCCCUUGGUGAAUAUCUGGGUUAUUUCCAUUUCUUUGCUGUCCGACAAACUGGACAGAUGUAUGCAUUUUUCCUGCAUACAUACACAAAAGUUUUCCAAAAAUGUAUAAUUAGAAGUGGUAUUUCUGGAUAACAAAUUGGGUUCACUUUUAAUUUUACUUAAUAAUGCAAGAUUUUCCCUAAAAUAAC